rnacentral:rRNA from 1 species
UACGAAGGGGGCUAGCGUUGUUCGGAAUUACUGGGCGUAAAGCGUGCGUAGGUGGUCUUUUAAGUCCGUUGUGAAAGCCCUGGGCUCAACCUGGGAAUGGCAGUGGAUACUGGAAGGCUGGAGUACGGUAGAGGAGGGUGGAAUUCCCGGUGUAGCGGUGAAAUGCGUAGAGAUCGGGAGGAACAUCAGUGGCGAAGGCGGCCCUCUGGACCAGUACUGACGCUGAGGCACGAAAGCGUGGGGAGCAAACAGG